GACGAACGCUGGCGGCGUGCUUAACACAUGCAAGUCGAACGGAAAGGCCCUGCUUUUGUGGGGUGCUCGAGUGGCGAACGGGUGAGUAACACGUGAGUAACCUGCCCUUGACUUUGGGAUAACUUCAGGAAACUGGGGCUAAUACCGGAUAGGAGCUCCUGCUGCAUGGUGGGGGUUGGAAAGUUUCGGCGGGUGGGGAUGGACUCGCGGCUUAUCAGCUUGUUGGUGGGGUAGUGGCUUACCAAGGCUUUGACGGGUAGCCGGCCUGUGAGGGUGACCGGCCACAUUGGGACUGAGAUACGGACCAGACUCCUACGGGAGGCAGCAGUGGGGAAUAUUGCACAAUGGGCGGAAGCCUGAUGCAGCAACGCCGCGUGCGGGAUGACGGCCUUCGGGUUGUAAACCGCUUUCGCCUGUGACGAAGCGUGAGUGACGGUAAUGGGUAAAGAAGCACCGGCUAACUACGUG
rnacentral:rRNA from 1 species